rnacentral:lncRNA from 1 species
ACAAACUAUCUGUUUGGUUUAUUUGGGAUUGGCGUCCCCUUUGGGCAAUUCUUUUUCACCAGGCAAAAAUAAUUGGCAAAGAAUUAUCUUACCCAGUUCGGUUGAUAUGCUCCUGGUGGCCUACUCAUCCAUUCUAAUCCAUACUCAUUGAAAUGGCAUUCCAACUCAAGAUAUUCAUGUAGCUCCAUCAUCAUGAUCAGAUGUUCUUCCAUGAAUGACCUUCUGAUCUCUCUUGCUGUGGGUUUUAACCCAUCAUAAAAUUCUCUUUGUGCUCCUUCUAUUUGCCACCUAAUUGCAUCUCAAAAUUGGGGAUCCUUCCGCCUGAUAACAUUAGCAUCCUCUGGUUUAGCUUCCACAUCUGGAACUUCUAUUUGUUCUCCCAAGUUAGCAGCUUUAGUUUCACCCUCUACAGGCAAUGGUUGAGUUUCAACAACUGUUACUUCAUCGAGGCUUGAAUUGGUGCUGCUAGUGCUACUCUCACUCUCCUCCUCAGACUGGAAGAGUACAAGAUCUUCUCUUUCAUGUUGUCUGGUGUUGUAGGUAGGUGCGGAUGCAUUUCUACCCCUUUGAGACCUUCGGCCUCUAAUUUAUGGAAGUUUGGGAGCCAUAAC